rnacentral:rRNA from 1 species
UACGUAGGGUGCGAGCGUUGUCCGGAAUUAUUGGGCGUACAGGGCUCGUAGGCGGUUUGUCGCGUCGGGAGUGAAAACUCAGGGCUUAACCCUGAGCCUGCUUCCGAUACGGGCAGACUAGAGGUAUGCAGGGGAGAAUGGAAUUCCUGGUGUAGCGGUGAAAUGCGUAGAUAUCUGGAGGAACACCGGUGGCGAAGGCGGCAUCCUGGACCGAUAUUGACGCUGAUGCGCGAAAGCCAGGGGAGCAAACGGG